CGCUAGCGGCAGGCUUAACACAUGCAAGUCGAGGGGUAUAGUUCUUCGGAAUUAGAGACCGGCGCACGGGUGCGUAACGCGUAUGCAAUCUACCUUUUACAGAGGGAUAGCCCAGAGAAAUUUGGAUUAAUACCUCAUAGCAUUGCAGAAAGGCAUCUUUCAGCAAUUAAAGUCACAACGGUAAAAGAUGAGCAUGCGUCCCAUUAGCUAGUUGGUAAGGUAACGGCUUACCAAGGCAACGAUGGGUAGGGGUCCUGAGAGGGAGAUCCCCCACACUGGUACUGAGACACGGACCAGACUCCUACGGGAGGCAGCAGUGAGGAAUAUUGGUCAAUGGACGCAAGUCUGAACCAGCCAUGCCGCGUGCAGGAUGACGGUCCUAUGGAUUGUAAACUGCUUUUGUACGAGAAGAAACAACAUUACGUGUAAUGUCUUGACGGUAUCGUAAGAAUAAGCACCGGCCAACUACGUGCCAGCAGCCGCGGUAAUACGUAGGGUGCGAGCGUUGUCCGGAAUUACUGGGCGUAAAGGGCUUGUAGGCGGUUUGUCGCGUCGGAAGUGAAAACUCAGGGCUUAACCCUGAGCCUGCUUCCGAUACGGGCAAACUAGAGUGAUGUAGGGGAGACUGGAAUUCCUGGUGUAGCGGUGAAAUGCGCAGAUAUCAGGAGGAACACCGAUGGCGAAGGCAGGUCUCUGGGCAUUAACUGACGCUGAGGAGCGAAAGCAUGGGGAGCGAACAGGAUUAGAUACCCUGGUAGUCCAUGCCGUAAACGUUGGGCACUAGGUGUGGGGG
rnacentral:rRNA from 1 species